ACGAGUUCCAACAUCCGUGCCAAAAUUUCCCACUGAGAUCCAACAUCCUUGCCAGGAAAUGAAUAUAGGAUGGUACAGAGGAAGUGUCGAACUGAACGAUUGAGAAAACUAAGCCGAGUCUGGUAAAGCGGGUUGCGUAUGCUCAUCGAGUUGUUGCUGAAUCAGACAAAGAUAUUAUUCAAUAUGGGAUGCAAGGGUUAUGUGGGAUCAGAAAACUAGACGUUCACGUGGUUUUGAACAAUGGGUGUUGGUGGUAUCGUGAAGUUAUGAAAAGAGGUUCCGAAUACAUCCAUUCUCAGCAGCAAUAAUGUUCCCAUUAAGAAACUGUGUGGUGUUGGUGUUGACAGAGCAUUGCAAAUGAUAAACAAAAACAACUCACCCCUUAUCAAGGUCGUGCUUGCACGUAGCAGCGUAAUUAGGACCUCCCCUGAUAUUGAUCCUUUGACAUGGUUGGCAACUUUACAGGU